CUAUAUCAUGUUGGAACACCAGUUCUUGUAUGAUCACUGAAGUUAAGCAACGUUGAGCCUUGUCAGUAGCUAGAUGGGUGACCACUUGGGAAUGCUAGGUGC